GAUGAACGCUGACGGCGUGCCUAAUACAUGCAAGUCGAGCGAACGGACGAGAAGCUUGCUUCUCUGAUGUUAGCGGCGGACGGGUGAGUAACACGUGGAUAACCUACCUAUAAGACUGGGAUAACUUCGGGAAACCGGAGCUAAUACCGGAUAAUAUUUUGAACAGCAUGGUUCAAAAGUGAAAGACGGUCUUGCUGUCACUUAUAGAUGGAUCCGCGCUGCAUUAGCUAGUUGGUAAGGUAACGGCUUACCAAGGCAACGAUGCAUAGCCGACCUGAGAGGGUGAUCGGCCACACUGGAACUGAGACACGGUCCAGACUCCUACGGGAGGCAGCAGUAGGGAAUCUUCCGCAAUGGGCGAAAGCCUGACGGAGCAACGCCGCGUGAGUGAUGAAGGUCUUCGGAUCGUAAAACUCUGUUAUUAGGGAAGAACAUAUGUGUAAGUAACUGUGCACAUCUUGACGGUACCUAAUCAGAAAGCCACGGCUAACUACGUG
rnacentral:rRNA from 1 species